rnacentral:rRNA from 1 species
UUGAACGCUGGCGGAAUGCUUUACACAUGCAAGUCGAGCGGCAGCGCGGGGCAACCUGGCGGCGAGCGGCGAACGGGUGAGUAACACAUCGGAACGUACCCAAUCGUGGGGGAUAACACAUCGAAAGAUGUGCUAAUACCGCAUAAGUCCUGAGGGAGAAAGCGGGGGAUCAGCAAUGACCUCGCGCGGAUGGAGCGGCCGAUGUCGGAUUAGCUAGUUGGUGGGGUAAAGGCCUACCAAGGCGACGAUCCGUAGCGGGUCUGAGAGGACGGCCCGCCACACUGGAACUGAGACACGGUCCAGACUCCUACGGGAGGCAGCAGUGGGGAAUUUUGGACAAUGGGGGCAACCCUGAUCCAGCCAUGCCGCGUGAGUGAAGAAGGCCUUCGGGUUGUAAAGCUCUUUCGGCGGGGAAGAAAUCGCAUGGGUUAAUACCCUGUGUGGAUGACGGUACCCGAAUAAGAAGCACCGGCUAACUACGU